GGUCACCAGGUAGUACUAUUAAUAACUCUGGGUAAGCCUGUUCCCGGGCUGGCUGGCAGCUUCCAUAAAGCCUGAGCCGAGGACCCAGAAAGUCUUCUUCAGCCCCUGAGACCUUUAAAUCCCAUGUUGUGAGACAAAAAAGAAAAGUAGCUGGGGAUUCUCAAGGCUAUGCCAGUGAAGGUCUAAUGGCUCUCACCAAGCUGGAAUGGGUUUGAGGCCUGUUGUCUGAGUACCAGCCUAGCUGAGCCAAGGGUAGAGCGCUCAUCACCCAACCGGAAGAAUGGCCAUCGGGUGUCGGUUGUGGGAGGCCACAGGAGUUCUCGAGCAUUGUCUGCUAAGUGGAAUCACAGACGAUCGCAGACGAACCACAGCGUCAGGUGACCCAGCGGCAAUGGAGAGACUUUUCAGUCGUUUUUCGGUCGUGUCUGACUCUUCGUGACCCCUUUUGGGGUUUUCUUGGCAGAGAUACUGGAGUGGUUUGCCAUUUCCUUCUCC